rnacentral:rRNA from 1 species
GAUGAACGCUAGCUACAGGCUUAACACAUGCAAGUCGAGGGGUAACGAGAGGGAAGCUUGCUUUCCUUGUCGACGACCGGCGCACGGGUGAGUAACGCGUAUCCAACCUGCCCCCAACUAGGGAAUAACCUUGCGAAAGUAAGACUAAUACCCUAUAAUUUCCUCAGAUGUCAUCUGACGAGGAAUAAAGAUUUAUCGGUUGUGGAUGGGGAUGCGUCUGGUUAGCUUGUUGGCGGGGUAACGGCCCACCAAGGCAACGAUCAGUAGGGGUUCUGAGAGGAAGGUCCCCCACAUUGGAACUGAGACACGGUCCAAACUCCUACGGGAGGCAGCAGUGAGGAAUAUUGGUCAAUGGGCGGAAGCUUGAACCAGCCAAGUAGCGUGCAGGAUGACGGCCCUAUGGGUUGUAAACUGCUUUUAUACAGGAAUAAAGUUAGCCACGUGUGGUUAUUUGUAGGUACUGUAUGAAUAAGGACCGGCUAAUUCCGUGCCAGCCGCCGCGGUAA